rnacentral:rRNA from 1 species
CCUACGGGGGGCAGCAGUGAGGAAUAUUGGUCAAUGGACGAGAGUCUGAACCAGCCAAGUAGCAUGAAGGAUGACUGCCCUAUGGGUUGUAAACUUCUUUUAUAUGGGAAUAAAAUGUUCCACGUGUGGGAUUUUGUAUGUACCAUAUGAAUAAGGAUCGGCUAACUCCGUGCCAGCAGCCGCGGUAAUACGGAGGAUCCGAGCGUUAUCCGGAUUUAUUGGGUUUAAAGGGAGCGUAGGUGGAUUGUUAAGUCAGUUGUGAAAGUUUGCGGCUCAACCGUAAAAUUGCAGUUGAAACUGGCAGUCUUGAGUACAGUAGAGGUGGGCGGAAUUCGUGGUGUAGCGGUGAAAUGCUUAGAUAUCACGAAGAACUCCGAUUGCGAAGGCAGUUCACUGGACUGCAACUGACACUGAGGCUCGAAAGUGUGGGUAUCAAACAGGAUUAGAUACCCCAGUAGUC